rnacentral:rRNA from 1 species
CGAUGAAGGAGGAGCUUGCUCCUCUGGAUUAGUGGCGAACGGGUGAGUAACACGUGAGCAAUGUGCCCUUGACUCUGGAAUAAGCGCUGGAAACGGCGUCUAAUACCGGAUACGACCUUCGGAGGCAUCUCCUGUUGGUGGAAAGAACUUCGGUCAAGGAUCAGCUCACGGCCUAUCAGCUUGUUGGUGAGGUAACGGCUCACCAAGGCGACGACGGGUAGCCGGCCUGAGAGGGUGACCGGCCACACUGGGACUGAGACACGGCCCAGACUCCUACGGGAGGCAGCAGUGGGGAAUAUUGCACAAUGGGCGCAAGCCUGAUGCAGCAACGCCGCGUGAGGGACGACGGCCUUCGGGUUGUAAACCUCUUUUAGCAGGGAAGAAGCGAAAGUGACGGUACCUGCAGAAAAAGCACCGGCUAACUACGUGCCAGCAGCCGCGGUAAUACGUAGGGUGCAAGCGUUGUCCGGAAUUAUUGGGCGUAAAGAGCUCGUAGGCGGUUUGUCGCGUCUGCUGUGAAAUCCCGAGGCUCAACCUCGGGCUUGCAGUGGGUACGGGCAGGCUAGAGUGCGGUAGGGGAGAUUGGAAUUCCUGGUGUAGCGGUGGAAUGCGCAGAUAUCAGGAGGAACACCGAUGGCGAAGGCAGAUCUCUGGGCCGUAACUGACGCUGAGGAGCGAAAGCAUGGGGAGCAAACAGGCUUAGAUACCCUGGUAGUCCAUGCCGUAAACGUUGGGAACUAGAUGUGGGGACCAUUCCACGGUCUCCGUGUCGUAGCUAACGCAUUAAGUUCCCCGCCUGGGGAGUAC